rnacentral:lncRNA from 1 species
AUGCGGGCCCAGAGCAGCCGGGGCCCAGAGUUAAUUACAGAGGAAGUGACCCUGGUCUGGUCUCCCCGGUCCCACUUCCCAGCACUGCGGCCCCUCGCAGAGCAGGGCAGACGGGACCUCUCCAGCGGCCUCUCUUCCCAUACCUCGCCUUCCUCUUGUCCUUCCCACUCUCUCCACGGCUGCCUGCAGAGAACUUGGAGCUGGCUGCUUGGAUCCGCGCCAGGGUGGGAGGCCUGGAAGCUGGUGGCUGUCCGAUCACAGGGCCCUGCACCAGUGUUGGUGGGGGCGGUCCUUCCCUGGGAUGCCCCCACUGCCUUCCACGGGGCCUCUGGAUCAGGGCAUGGAGCUUUGGUCUCUUUGUCUGGAAACAACACUCAGGACGGCUGGGCAUCCACGCAUUUAGGUGUCAGCAGGAAAGACAGAAGCCCAGUGAGAAGCCACCCACUUGUCCUUCGAACUCAUGAGGACGUGAGAGGCAGAGGGAGGGAGAGAGGCAGAAGACGCAGCCUGGGGAUGCUACAGUCCUCUCUACUGCGGCCCGUGCUCAGACCAUCAGGAGCGUCCACACACGAGCGAAGGGUCGUCUCCCCUCUCGAGGCACACGAGAUAAUAAAACAAAGAAAGCACAACAAUAAAUACUGCAGCUUCUUGAACCUAUGCUCUUCAAGUAUUGCUUGCUGUAAACAGUGUUUGAAUUUUGUUUUCUUUUUAAUCAUAAGAAACCAUGGGCAGACUGGAGCAGAGUCUGAAUGCCCAUGUCCCCCAGUCGGAUCCCGAACGGAACCUCUGGAGGCCUGGCCCAUGAUCCUCCAGGGCCCUGCCCCCGGGGAGCCUGGUUUACGAUGGGGAUGUAUAAAUGGCAGAGCUGCCCAGAGUCCUUCGGGAGACCAGGUGUCCCCUCUGGGAGUCACUGUAGGGAAACCCAAAGGAAAAGUACCAAAAUCAGCUCCUCGCUUGUUGAGGUUUGGGUUUAAAGAAAACAACCAAACAGGAGCAAAAAGCAUCGGUGCUUUUGAGACACACACGUCCACUGGAGAAGAGGACGCACGGAUGCGCGGAUAUAAAGCUCAGCUUGCUGUCAGCAGGGUGGAGCCCAAUGGCUCUGCCGUUUGUGUAAAGUCCCACCUUCCCCACCGCUUCUGA